UGUUUGUCGUCACUGGAGCAAUGCCUUGCAGCAGGGUUGCUCCAUAUCCUCCUGACUGGUGCUGGCAUAGAGUCCAACCCGGGCUCGGAGGAAUUUUUCUGCUGCGUUUGUACAAAAAGGCUCCAUCCAAUCUUCACCUCGGUCAGGUGUAAUACAUGCAAUGGAUGGAGCCAUCUUUAGACCUGCUCAGGCCUUAGGACUCACAGGGAGUGGACCACGAGUCACGUGGCCCCAUGUUGCCUAUGCAAUACUGCGACACUAGCCUCUACGGCUGUGCAAUUUACAGUUCCUGCUGGGAUGUUUUCGUAGAAAUCACCCUUUCAGCUAUCUUCUGGGAGCGGAACCGCCUCCUAGGAGUAUCAAGAGGUCUUUCCUUGACUACAUCGACGACGUCGAACCUCGGACGCAACUGACUUUCGACAGGUACUGGCCGCCACUCACAGUGGAGCCAUCAACACCUUCACCGACUCCCUUCCCGUGAAUGGCGUUCUUGGAGUCAAACCACCACCCAUCGCAGACGAAGAGCUCGAGUUGCCGCGAGAAACGCGAGUGACCAUAGCGCAACUUCGUUCUAGAUAUGAUAACAGGUCAAACUCCUACUUAUCCAGAAUAGACCCUGACAUACCCAAUGUAUGUCCUGCAUGCAACGAGUCCCCGCAUGACACUGACCACCUAUUUGUAUGCCCUACCAACCCCACUCAUCUAACACCCUUUUCCCUUUGGUCUGACCCCGUCAAAACAGCACGUUUCCUGGGCCUCCCGUUACAUGACGUCGACGACAACACAGAUAACCCUUACCAUCCUAACGGGGAUUGGGAAACCGUUAAAACAAAAACUAACUGACCGAAGGAAUACCGACUUGUCUCUUGAUAGUCUGUUCUCCUUCACUCCUCAUACGAACGCUAUUAUCACUAAAGUACAGAGCCGCAACAAAAUCCUUAAGUCGCGAGACGGCAGCAUAUAGGAAAAGGGCACAGAAACGUUGUUGGCAACAUACAAGGCAAUCGGACGGCUGGUCCAUAACUACGCCGCACCAAUAUGGUCGCCUGGAUGCAGUGAAACGCAAACGAGGUAGCUGCAAACUUAUCAGAACACUGCACUCCGGAUGCCUCUUAAUGUCUCCCAUCAAACCCCUGCAUAGAGAGGUCUGUAUACCUCCACUAAAGAAGUCAACUUAACUAAUCCUUACCAUCCUAACGGGGAUUACCUGUUUUCUUUAGCAAAAAUUGUAUGUUAAUUAUUUCGGUUUUAUCAACAUUGUUACGGACAGAACAGGUUGUGUACAGGAUACAUCAGAUUUUGCGUUAGUUUUCAUGCUUGGUCAGGCGUUAAAUACAUUGUAUGUUGAUUUAUUUUGUACUUAGUGCUGGGAAUAAAUUACAUCAAUUGGGCUCUUUUUACUUGUAGUUUUAGCUCAGGGAUCUCAUCCGAUAUAAGUGUUUGCUGCAGCUACUGGUGAAUAUCCAAAAUUUUUAAUGCCUUUUAAUACUUCAACAGGUGUAUUUUUACUGCUUACCUCCUUUUCGAGUGGAUUAAAGUUACUGAGUUGAAGCACCCGCCCGUUCCAGAAAUUAAGUUUGAAUUACGAACAUAAAAUCGGUGUUAACCAGUAAAUGAAUCGAUAAUGUAAACGCGAGAUAGUUUUUGGAAACUUUUUCCAUAUUUAUGAAAAUUUAUUGAAUAUAUGUAUGCUUCAAAUUGAUAUCCUUGGUGUAUUUUUGUCUAUAAUCCCUAAAAUACACAUUUUAACCAGCGUUUGAAAAACUACGCUACUCUCGUAGCAUUUCCAUUUUACUCUUGCUACCGCUCUCACUUUGUCGGGAGCCACAGCGUAGCCUUAGUAUAACAAUGUAAAGUAUGUGCUCUACUCUGCUCCGAGUUUUGUUAGGUAAAAAACUAUAGCUGGAGCGGGAGCGGGAGCAAAAAAUUAAAUUCUGCGCUAUGCUCUGGCGUAGCGGUAGCAAAAAAUUGAGAGCGGUAGCACAGCAGAGCAAAUGAAAAUUUUCAUGUGCUACAGCUCCCGAAUGUGUUUGUUGUUUUUUUUUUCUUUUUUGCUAUUUUCUGGCAUUUACAAAUAUGGUACAAGUUGGUAUAUAAAAGAAAGUCGUUUAUAACUCAAGAACGGCUGAACCGAUUUGGCUUAAAAUUGGUGGGGAGGUAGUUUAGAAGCAGGGUAAGGACAUAGGAUACAUUUUAUCUCUUUAUACUAAAUUUCAAUACAGCUCAUAAAUACAAAAAUUAUAUUUCAAAUCAUAAGCAUUUGUUCAAAAUUUAUGUAAGAAUCAUUUGAAAAUUUUAGUUAUUCAAAAAUAGAAAGAAAUAAGUAAAAAUUUUCAUUUCCAAACAUGCUUAGUAUAUGGGUUAUACUGAUUUUGCUUCUUAACCAGGUAGUUUUUUUUUUAAGACGAGCCCGUCCGAUAUAUUUAAUAUCACAACAAAAAAUGGCAUUGGAAUUUUCAUCGUCAAGGCACUGCGGAUACUUUGCUAGAUUAUUGGUCAAGGACGCAAAUGCAUUCAUAACAAACCAAACGCGAUAUCUAACAUAAAGAUAUAACGGAAUAAUUGGAGUGUUGAUAAAAAGGUUUAUUAUAAUUUUAGAUAUACAGAAAUCUUUUCGAUUCUUUGCAAUAUACAUUGAAGUAUGUAUAUGCGUACAAUUUCAAACUGAUUCUUCCUAAAAAAUUAUAAAAUUACUAAAUAUUGGGAAUGGUAGAAUAGAACUGCAAAUACGCAGUGCAAUGGAUUAAAACUGGUACUGGUAAUCAGUAGAUGAAUAUUAACCACGUGUAUUCCAAAAGAUAAAGGCGAGGUAUCUAAACCUGAUUUUUCCACGAAAUUCGCAUUUUUUUGUAUAACUGACAAGAGCUACAGCGUCUAAAGUCAAAGCGAUGCCAUAAAAUACCUCUGAUCUGUAGGAAUUUAAAGAUAAAAAACCAAGAUUGUAGUGUAUUUUCUAUGGAAAAUUUUUACAUGCCUUGGUCCAGUUCUUAAUGUUAAUAUGUAGGGCUAAAAUUUUCAGGGAAUUUUUUUUUUUUUGGGGGUAUUUCCAAGGAAAUUUCGUGACGGGACCGAACAAAAUUAAUAAUUCAAAAAAAUAAAAGCACCCUAAUGUUUAUAAAAAGGGGGAAAGUAUGUAUAUGCAGUUAAAAUUAAUUUCGAAAAUUCAUAGUAAUUGAGUAUUGUAAUACAUUUGGAAUAGAUGAUGUUCUUGGUAAUAUAAAAAUGGUAAAUAUUUUACAUAAUAAAAAAAAUUUUAUAAUUUAUUCAAUUAUUAUCUAAUUCACUUUAUUAAUAUAUUUCUUAAAAUAUUUGAUUUUAGAUUUAUAAAGGCACUUGACGCAACAAGUGCCAAAAUGAUUUGCAUAACAUUGUUUUGUUUGAAUUAUUCAAUUAAUUCAAAUAUUAUGCCAGAAAAUAGCAAAAAGAAAAAAAAAACAACAAACACAUUCGGGAGCUGUAGCACAUGAAAAUUUUCAUUUGCUCUGCUGUGCUACCGCUCCCAAUUUUUUGCUACUGCUACGCCAGAGCAUAGCGCAGAAUUUAAUUUUUUGCUCCCGCUCCCGCUCCAGCUAUAGUUUUUUACCUAACAAAACUCGGAGCAGAGUAGAGCACAUACUUUACAUUGUUAUACUAAGGCUAUGCUGCGGCUCUCGACAAAGUGAGAGCGGUAGCGAUAGCAUAGCAAUAAUUUUAGAAAUUUUGCUGCUACGGAGUAGUAAAUGAGAACCCUGAUUUAAACAUACAUAUGUAGUUAUGUAAAUUAGGACAGCCUUAUCAAUUUUUUCACAUAAACAUUUAAAAACGUCGUUUUUUUAAAUUUCCACAACUCACUCAAAAACGGAUAGUUUACGACAAAAAUCGAUUUUGCGGUUUCAACGAUUUUCUAAGUAGCCGGAAUGUAUUUCAUCGAGUCGGUGAGUUCAAUUCCAAUACAAAUUUUGUUUCCUAUAUGGUUUCAAUAAUUUCAACGUAAAGUGAAUAGCUUCAAGUUGCAGUUGUCAUGGUUAUAAAAUAUAAUGGAUUUAUAUACUUACAUACAUAUGUAUAUUUUAAUAAACAAUCCGUGAAUAUAACGAUACCGACAAUCGAAAGUGUGCAAAACUAUGUACAUACAUACAUACAUAUAUAUGUAUGUCAUCAGCUCUGUUGACUUGACAGCCAACUUGAACCACGACUUGAAUUGAAAAAUUUAUAUUGUGGUAAGUGUGAGUGUAUUGGAACCUGAAAACAACUUCUUGAUCGUGUAACGUCCGAGAUAGGCGUAAUUCUAUAUAAACAAUUGAGGCACUUCACCAUCUUACCCAUACAUGCAGACAUAGGCCGCUUUCGACAAUGCAAACUGCAACUUUUGAAAAUUAGCUGUGUUAGCUGAAAUAUCAUUGCAAGUGAUUUAUGUUAAAUAUAAUUUUAAUAUUCAGCAUUAUCGCAAACUUCGCGUUAAUGCCAUUUCCCUUGGCUGAUAACCAGAAAUUGAAAAACCGGAGCAUAAAGUUAUAUCAAACAGAGGAAGACGGGUUAUGUCUGCGCAGACCCGAUGAAGUGCGUGAGCUAUUUUAGCUUCUUCAUCCUAGUGGAUAGGACCUUCUCAGAUGGCCACGGAAAAUGUCAACGAGGAAGCUCAAAACGUUUUAACUAACCAAAUGUAACAGCCCAGAUGGAAUAAAUAUGUUGAUGUUAAAUCAUCAUCUCGAUUAUGCAAUUUCAACAAGGUACUUAACCUGCCGCUAUGUGGAAAAACUGAAAAGAGAUCAACUUCUUAAACCUGGGGGUAAUCCUUGGAUACGGUCAAGCUUAAAAUGUUAUUAGGAUACUUAGAAAAAUUUAUAAUACCUAUUGCUCAAAAUUAGAGGUGACCGAUCGUAUCACAGGAAUUGAUGAUUUGUGUUUAAGGGGGUAGUAGGGUAAUUUGGCUUUUUUUUGACAUUUUUUUAUAGAAAUUUUAUUCUACAAUAGAACUUUUUUCACAUAUCAUGAGGUAUAUCGUGGAGUGUAUUAACCAAUUGUUUUCGGAAUUUUUUGAUGACAUCUGUCGGAGAAAUGGCUGGGUGAAUGAUAUGCGUUUUUUCACUGGCGGACACGAUUUCUCAUGUUUGGAUCAUCUGAAACACAAAAACCCAAUUUUUUCUUAAAAAGUACCUGAAUGGUUAUUGUCCCUACUAGAAUCAUGAAAAAAUGUUGAUAAAUAAAAAAGUAAUUAACGUUUUUUUUUUCUUUUUUAAUUUUUCCCCAUGUUUUUUUUACAUAUGUACAUACAUUUUGUCAUAACAUUGUCAAUAAAUUAGAAAAAAUUAUGAAUCUAGCAGGGACGAUAGCCGUUUUGUGAACAUUAAAAAAAAAUUAAGCAAAUCGGUUGAGUAGUUCGACCGGAAUCAUGUCCGCCAGUUUGAAAAAGUGUAUUUUGAGCAAAACGUUUUUAAAGUUUGAGGUGUGCACUCCGAGCGCUCCGAACGUCAAGCGGUAUUAUUAUUUUUGGGCCUUUUUCGAAACCUUCCAAUGGUAAACUGGGUUUCUAAAUUAAUGCUAAGGGUAUAAGGGAACAGAAAAUGCAAAAAAAAAACAA